GCAUCGUGACUCUGUUUCUCCCUUCCUCUUGUGUGUUGUACCACUAGGAAGAUUAGUGGGGAAAUUUGCUAUUACAUGCCUAAGUAAACUAUGUAACUAGGAUCACAGCCACAGGAAAUGAUGUUCUGGACAGAGUUUUAGCUCGGCUUUAGCCACAGGCGAACUGUGAUGAAGAGCCUUAUACUUAGGAAGACACAACUACCUUUGAACAGUCCUUUGUGAAAUCUAAUGAUCGCAACGAACGAAAUAAACCAGAACAUCGUUCUUCAAGCCAAGGACCCUUGUCAUCCAUUAGAGCGGUAAUCAAGAGAUCUUCUCGGACUUCUAUUCAGAGUGAACUUCAUCGAGAUAGAAGGCGCCCAGAGAUCACCAUUGUGGCAGCUGAGCCACUGAGGCCAGCCUCGUGGUUUCCAGGAACCCCACCCCCAGGACUGGGAUUUCCUACAUCAUCUGCAGCAGGCUCUUGGAGGCCUAAUGAGCUGGUUCCUGCUGAGCUCCCACCAUCUUAUGAACAAGUUAUAAAAGAAAUCAACCAAGUUCAAGUUAAUACUACAAAU
rnacentral:lncRNA from 1 species